GUGAAUCAUCAAAUUUUUGAACGCAAAUUGCACUCCCUGGUAUUCCGGGGAGUAAGCCUGUUUGAGGGUCGUUAGAAGAAAAAUCGACAUAGUUGCUGUUACGCGUUAACAUUCGUCGGAAAUAGGGUCAUCUUAAACUUUUGGGUUUAAGCGGCUUAAAAUUUUCUUUACGAUUCCACGAACGUUUCUAAGAUUUUACUUCUUACACGUUUAAGGUAUCCAUCUUUAUUAGACGUGGCCGUUUGAUC
rnacentral:misc_RNA from 1 species